rnacentral:hammerhead_ribozyme from 1 species
GUACUCCUGAAGAGUCCCACAAUGGGACGAAACGGCCAUCCAGUAC